AGUCUACUUUUUCUUUCUAAAUCACUCUAGUUGCUGGUUGCAUAGGCAAAAUGACAGUGGGGAGACCCGUUGGGAGGCUACUGCACAAAUCUUAGCCAGAGGUGAUGGCGAUGGUGGCUGGACCAGGGUGGUGACUGGGAGGUGGGCAGAUCCCAGCACACUUGGAAGAAGGAGCAAUGGAGGGGGCUGUUGAGACUGAGAAGGCCGAGUGUCACCAAGGAGGCGUCUCGGAGACGGUGGGAUGUGUGAGGCUGGGGCUCAGAGAAGAGGAGCAGAGGAGGGUGAGUCAGGAACACGGGUCAGGUGAGAUCACCCCAGCAGCUGUCAAAUCGUCACUGCUCAACGAGGCCCGCUGGAAGGACACAGGGAAGAGCUGCUGGCACCAAGUCACACAACACCGAGGACGGACAGAUCGGGAGGCAGAGGCCAGCUGCUUCCCCUUCCUGUCCUGCACGAGUUCUUCGUGUUAAUCUAUUAUUCUAAAAAUUUAUUCAUUGUCUACCAAGUGAUCAAUUUCUUAUCAUUUGUUUAUUACUAUUUUUACUUUCAUUAUCACAUUAGAUUUGCACACAUGGGAGCCUCCGGGGGACAUCUUUGUUUAUUAGUUUAUAACUUAAAAUGAAUAUUUUAUACAGAAACAUUUUAAACAGAGGCAGAAAAACUCUUAACCCAGUUUUAUCUUAGGCUAAAAUUUCAUUAUCGCUAAUUCUCGGGCCUCCAAGCACUGUGCAAACAAUCCUGGAGGAAUGGGAGUUAUCAAUUAUUAAUAACUGUUAAAUUAGCAUGGAGCUUGGUUCUCCCCUAAGUAUGUUCCAGAACAGCAGGGCAGGAACAGAGCCUCUGCUCCCUCUUGGGUCUCCUGCUCAGACAAAGCCAAACCCUGCCCAGGCACAUGGGCGUCCCCACAUGGGCCAGCACUGACCCCACAGCCACUGCCCCCACCCUGCAGGGCACCUGGGAGGGGGCACCCCAGGCCUAGGACUUCCUCUUGAAUGGAAGGAUGAACCCAUCUCCCAAGGAAUUCCUGCAGGGACACGUGACCCCGAUAUUCUCCACAAGCUGGGGCAGGAGCCUGCCUUUGGAGUUUGCCCCCCUCACCAUUCGUCAUGGGCUGAAUUACGUCCCCCUAAAAUUUGCAUGUUGAAGCCUUAAUCCCCAAUACCUCAGAAUGUGAUUAUAUUUGGAAAUAGGGCCUUUAAAAGGUGAUUAAAUUAAGAUGGGCCAGGCCCUAAUCCCCUGUGACUGGUGUCCCUGUAAGAAGAAAUUUGGACACAGACUCACACAGAGGGAAGACCAUGGAAGACACAGGUGAAGAUGACCAUCUACAAGCCAAGAAGAAAGGCCUCAGGAUAAACCAACCCUGCUGACUCUUUGAUCUUGAGCUUCCAGCCUCCAGAACUGUCAGAGAAUAAACGUCUGCUGUUUAAGCCACGCGAUCUGCUGUGCUUUGUUACGGCCACUCGACCUGUGUAACGCACCAUGCCCACCCAUCCCUUCCACCACGCCUGGUGCCCUGGUGUGCCACUCUCCUCCUUUAUCCCAGCAUGUCUGCGAGGAAGAAAACGUCCCUGCUCUAGCAUUUAGAGGCCACCAACAUUGAAUUAACCACCCCAGAGGAGAAGCAACAGGGAAAGGACUCUGGCCUUCCCCAUUCAGAGCGGCCUUGGAGAUUAGGAGACGGAUGGAUCUCAUCGGAGCACGUACUGACCUUCUGCCCACGCUAUGCAUAAGCCACUCAGACUCCCCUGGCUUUUGAGUGCAGAUAGGGUGGUGGAUGAGGCCCAAGAUUCUCAGAGUUCACCUGGCCUCCUCAGGGUCUUCAAGAUCAUCUUCUCUUCUUGGUUAUCAAAACUGUGUGUGUGUGUGGCAGGGGGGAAGCCAGGGAAAGAUUGGAAAUUCAGCCACCUGCCACCUUGCAGUAGCUCACAGGUGUUAAGAGGCAUUUUGACAAACCUCAAACUGCAAAUAGCUUUAAGCUACAAAAUGAAAUUCUAAGUAUGUAUUCUCGAGUAGGAAGGUUUAGAAGAGCCCAGUGAAGCUGCCUUAGUGCCCCUCAAGCCAUCCCCAAAGCCAACAACCUGAUUAAAGCUAGGGACUGUCAUCUUUAACUUAUCCGGCAUCUCAAAGACUGCACCAUUCACAGCAUGUCUUCCUGUUGGACAUGGUGACCAUGAGGACCCUUUGCUGGGUUCUUAGUGGACAGCAUAGACAUGGGCUCUGCAGUCAGAUUUAUUUCCAUUUGUAUCUCAGAUCUGUGACUUAAUAUGUGUGACCCCAGGUGAGUUACUUGGACUUUCUGUGCCUCAGUUUCCUCAUAUAUAAAAUGGGAUAAUAAUUGUG